rnacentral:sRNA from 1 species
UGGAGUUUUGAAGCUUAAAUCAUCUGUCCACAGAAAUGUACCACAUAGGCAGCAGCAAUGCAUGCUUCCUACCCAACCAAUUCUUUACCAAUGUGCCUCAGUCCUGUCCUGGAGGGAAGUAGAAUUGAGAAGACAGUUCCAUAUUAGUAACCA